UACGGAGGGGGCAAGCGUUGUUCGGAAUUACUGGGCGUAAAGGGCGCGCAGGCGGCUGCUCAAGUCAGGCGUGAAAGGCCUGGGCUCAACCCGGGAAUUGCGCUUGAGACUGGGCUGGCUUGAGUGCGGGAGAGGAUGGUGGAAUUCCCAGUGUAGAGGUGAAAUUCGUAGAUAUUGGGAAGAACACCGGUGGCGAAGGCGGCCAUCUGGACCGCAACUGACGCUGAGGCGCGAAAGCAUGGGUAGCAAACAGG
rnacentral:rRNA from 1 species